UUCCGACGGUUGAUGCUGUAGGCUGCCACCGACCCCGGAUCGGGCUCCAGCUCGGGUCCUGACCCUGCUCCCACGAAGGGGACGGAGCGCCCAAUCAAUAAAGUGGGAAGAAAAAGACAAGAAAAUGACGUUUGACUUUGACCACAGCCCCCCACCAGGGGGAGGAGAGGAGAGACGGUGCCGGCUGCCCAAGGGGAAGAUUAUAGGAAGUGCUUCAGCAUGUAGUAGGGACAAAGAUGGGUUUCGGGACAUUCGUGGGCAUUGGAGCAACCAUCUUUGUGCUCAUUGUGGUCACCAUCAUCCUCUGUUUAACGUGUUCCUGCUGCUGUUUGUACAAGAUGUGCCGAAGGCCCAGACCUGUGGUGACAACCACGUCGACUACUGUGGUCCACUCUGCAUACCCACAGCAGCAAGGUGUGCCACCUGGUUACCCUGGGGCCAUGUACCAAGGCUACCAACCUAUGCCUGUCCAGCCUGGGAUGCCAGUUGCGCCUUAUCCAACGCAGUACCCACCACCCUACCCUGCCCAGCCUACUGGACCUCCUGCCUACCACGAGACUCAGUCUGCAGGUGCUGGAGCGCCAUACCCAAUCAGCCAACCUCCAUACAACCCUGCAUACAUGGAGCCUCCAAAGACUGCCUAUUGAGUUGCUUCUGAGCUGUGCCCCUGAAGGCCCCCCGCCCCUUUUCCUCCUCUUCCUGCCUAUCACUGUGUGUUUGAGCAUGUGGGAAUGUGUGUCUGUGUCGUCUUCUCUUCUCCCAAGUAAAUGCAAGCUGUAUGUUGUACUUGUAACAUUCUGUUUCCCCACAAUAUAUGGGCCGGGAUGAGAGACAGUGAAACGACACUUCCUAAAACUUUCCUCAGAUAAUUCUUGAAAAUAAGUUGGUGUGAUUUUUGCCAAAUCACAGAAAAAAAGGAAGAAGCUUGUGAAACCAGCAUUAGUUAGGGCAGUGUUUGGAGGACAUUUGGGAGACAGACACAUGUUAAAAGGAAUAGAUGAAAACACUCAUGUCAGCACACGGCUCUUCACCGUGCCAUGAGUUGCCGACCUUGACCUGAAGAUCAGAAGAGGCCCCCUGUCCUGGUGCUGGUUCCUGAAGGCCUCACAGAACUCACAUCCUCCAUAGUGCCCUGCUGAUCAGUUUAGAGAGGACAGCAGCAACAUCAAGUGGUCAGUGGCUUUGGCUCUCUGACCAGGUCAGCUUCAGGGUGUUUGUUUAAAAUUCUCAUCCGCUCUGUUCUGGCCAAGAGACAUUGUCAGAUGCAGCAUAAUUCACUCUCUGCUCCUAGGGGCCUCAGCUCCUUCCAUCUCAGGGUCCCUGCCGGGGCCCCAGCUCUCCCUCUCCAUCCAGUUUCCAUGUGGAAAGAGGAUUAGAUGGGGACUUCACCCUCCUGGCUGCUGAGAGGAACCUGGAGUCAGCCAGGAGUGUGCGUCUAUCUGUGUUCUGGGAUUCGGGAAGGAUCCUCUUGCAUCUGAGGUCUGAAUUGUUUGUUUUAGUCAUUAAACAGAUCUGGCCAGCAUUUGGCUGAAGAAGGUAGAUAGAAAUGUUGCCCCUUCCUCUGUCAGAGAAGGGAGAUAAGAUGGGUGCUAGGUUUAUCUCAGUUCUGUUUGCUGAGCUGCUUUUUCCCAUUCAUUCUCUCAUCAGGAAGGACAUCCAGACUCAGGUUUGUCAACCCACGUUCUCUCUUAGUAUUUUUUAAACUUAUCCCAGGGCUGGUAGCCGUUGGGAUGGGACCUGUUUGUUUUCGGGGGCAAGAGAUUUUGAUGACAUUUAAGGUGCAAGUAGCAUAUGCUCAGACUUGCCCAUGGUGGGUGGGGUGCAGGAUGGAUAGGGAAGAAACAGAAGGGGAUGGUGCCACAGAGGAGAGGGGGCCAACCAGAUUCCCUCUCUAUUCUUCUAUAAUUGGAGGGAAAUGGAUUGAGAUGAGGGUCCCUUUUAAGGGGUCCCUUCUAGCUUCAAAAUACUAUAACCUAGCUUGGGUCCCCUCCUCCUCUUCAGUUAAUCCUAUCCUUCCUCUUCCAAAACCCAAAAGGAAAGGGGUUAGAUGGAAUGGCACUGAAGGCUGAUCGUGGAUUGGCUGGGUCCUGUCUAGGAGGGGGAUGGGCAUUUGGUUUCAGAGCACAGGACUUUUCUGGUCUCAUCCUUUGGUAACUCUCAUUCUCUCAUUUGUAACCAGUUGCCUCUGUGUGUUCUGUGAAGGGGCCUGUUCCUGUUUGGGCCAAGCUCUUAUUUGUAAUAAACCUAUGGAUUUGAAAAUGACUCUUCUUCA
ensembl:lncRNA